rnacentral:tRNA from 1 species
ACAGCCGUCCGCGGAAUCUGGCAGCGUACUGGCCUGACGAGCCAGGAGGUGGGGUUCAAAUCCCCACAGCGGCC